GACGAACGCUGGCGGCGUGCUUAACACACGCAAGUCGAACGGAAAGGCCCUGCUUUUGUGGGGUGCUCGAGUGGCGAACGGGUGAGUAACACGUGAGUAACCUGCCCUUGACGUUGGGAUAACGUCAGGAAACUGGGGCUAAUACCGGAUAGGAGCUCCUGCUGCAGGGUGGGGGUUGGAAAGUUUAGGCGGUUUGGGCUGGACUCGCGGCUUAUCAGCUUGUGGGGGGGGUAGUGGCUUACGAAGGCAUUGACGGGUGGCCGGCCUGGGAGGUUGACCGGCCCCCUUGCGCCUACGGGAGGCACCAGUCUCCUAUUGUGGGCAGUGGUCGGGAGCCUUAUCCAGCAGGCCCGCGUGUGUUGUGACAGCCUCCCGUGUGGAAUGCACGCUUUCGGGUUGCGAAAAGCACUCGCCUAUGACGACGCGUCGGUGACGGUACUCGGAGAAGAAGCACCGGCUAACUACGUG
rnacentral:rRNA from 1 species